rnacentral:miRNA from 1 species
ACCAGCUUUCGGGAGAACCUCCCUUUCUCAAGUCUGAAGCUUCAGACUUGAGAAAGGGAGGUUCUCCUGAAAGCAUGU